GUCAUUGAGUCCGACUGCCCACCGGCCGAUUCAACAAGUCAAAUCGGCCAAAAUGAAGGCCGACGGCUCCUCCGACUGACGACGGCAUGGAACACACCGAACAGACUCGAGUCCCCGACCUCGCCACACUGUCCGACAGCCGAUAAUGGGGUUGGUGUGUCAGUGCCUUUAGACUAACUGCCAGCCUG